rnacentral:rRNA from 1 species
UACGGAGGGUGCAAGCGUUAUCCGGAUUCACUGGGUUUUAAAAGGGGUGCGUAGGUGGGGUUGGUAAGUCCGUGGUGAAAUCUCCGAGCUUAACUCGGAAAACUGCCCGUGGAUACUAUCAAUCUUUGAAUACUGUGGAGGUAAGCGGAAUAUGUCAUGUAGCGGGUGAAAUGCUUUAGAUAUGACAUAGAACACCGAUAGCGGGAGGGCAGCUUGCUACACAGUCAUUUGACACUUGAGGGCACGAAAAGCGUGGGGGAUCAAACAGG